rnacentral:rRNA from 1 species
CGCUGGCGGCGUGCCUAACACAUGCAAGUCGAGCGAGAAGUUGGAAGUGAAGAUUUCGAUUGGAACGGAAAAUGGAAAGCGGCAGACGGGUGAGUAACGCGUGAAUAAUCAACCCUGCACAAAGGGAUAGCCUCGGGAAACCGGGAUUAAUACCAUAUGAAGUAUAUUAAUCGAAUGAUAGAUAUAUUAAAGUUUUUAACGGUGCAGGACGAGUUCGCGUCCCAUUAGCUAGUUGGUAAGAUAAUAGCCUACCAAGGCGACGAUGGGUAGCCGGCCUGAGAGGGUGAACGGCCACACUGGAACUGAGACACGGUCCAGACUCCUACGGGAGGCAGCAGUGGGGAAUAUUGCACAAUGGAGGAAACUCUGAUGCAGCGACGCCGCGUGAGCGAAGAAGGCCUUCGGGUCGUAAAGCUCUGUCCUAAGAGAAGAAGAAGUGACGGUAUCUUAGGAGGAAGCCCCGGCUAACUACGUGCCAGCAGCCGCGGUAAUACGUAGGGGGCUAGCGUUGUCCGGAAUUACUGGGCGUAAAGGGUGAGUAGGUGGUCAUUAAAGUCAGAUGUAAAAGGCAAUGGCUCAACCAUUGUAAGCAUAUGAAACUUAAUGACUUGAGUGCAGGAGAGGUAAAUGGAAUUCCUAGUGUAGCGGUGAAAUGCGUAGAUAUUAGGAAGAACACCAGUGGCGAAGGCGAUUUACUGGACUGUAACUGACACUGAGUCACGAAAGCGUGGGGAGCAAACAGGAUUAGAUACCCUGGUAGUCCACGCUGUAAACGAUGAGUGCUAGGUGUCGGCAAGAGAUUGUCGGUGCCGCAGUUAACGCAUUAAGCACUCC